rnacentral:rRNA from 1 species
GUGGGGAAUAUUGGACAAUGGGCGAAAGCCUGAUCCAGCCAUGCCGCGUGUGUGAAGAAGGUCUUCGGAUUGUAAAGCACUUUAAGUUGGGAGGAAGGGCAGUAAGUUAAUACCUUGCUGUUUUGACGUUACCGACAGAAUAAGCACCGGCUAACUUCGUGCCAGCAGCCGCGGUAAUACGAAGGGUGCAAGCGUUAAUCGGAAUUACUGGGCGUAACGCGCGCGUAGGUGGUUUGGUACGUUGGAGGUGAAAUCCCCGGGCUAAAGCUGAGAACUGCAUCCAAAAAUGCAUGACUAGAGUACGGUAGGGGGUAGUGGAAUAUCCUGUGUAGCGGUGAAAUGCGUAGAUAUAGGAAGGAACACCAGUGGCGAAGGCGACUACCUGGACUGAUACUGACACUGAGGUGCGAAAGCGUGGGGAGCAAACAGGAUUAGAAACCCCAGUAGUCC